rnacentral:rRNA from 1 species
UCAGGAAUUUUGGGCAAUGGGCGAAAGCCUGACCCAGCAACGCCGCGUGAAGGAUGAAGUAUUUCGGUAUGUAAACUUCGAAAGAAUAGGAAGAAUAAAUGACGGUACUAUUUAUAAGGUCCGGCUAACUACGUGCCAGCAGCCGCGGUAAUACGUAGGGACCAAGCGUUGUUCGGAUUUACUGGGCGUAAAGGGCGCGUAGGCGGCAAUUCAAGUCAUCUGUGAAAUCUCCGGGCUUAACUCGGAACGGUCAGAUGAUACUGCUUUGCUAGAGUGCAGAAGGGGCAAUCGGAAUUCUUGGUGUAGCGGUGAAAUGCGUAGAUAUCAAGAGGAACACCUGAGGCGAAGACGGGUUGCUGGGCUGACACUGACGCUGAGGCGCGAAAGCCAGGGGAGCAAACGGGAUUAGAUACCCCCGUAGUCCCUGAGCGGGCUGGCAAGGCGCAU